UACAGAGGGUGCAAGCGUUGCUCGGAAUUAUUGGGCGUAAAGGGUAGGUAGGUGGUCUCAUUUGUCUGAGGUGAAAGCCUUGAGCUCAACUCAAGAAGUGCCUCAGAAACGGUGGGACUCGAGUCCUGGAGAGGGUCGUGGAAUUCCCGGUGUAGCGGUGAAAUGCGUAGAGAUCGGGAGGAACACCAGAGGCGAAAGCGGCGACCUGGACAGGUACUGACACUCAACUACGAAAGCGUGGGGAGCAAACAGG
rnacentral:rRNA from 1 species